rnacentral:rRNA from 1 species
GACAGCAGCAGCCGCGGGAAUACGUAGGGUGCAAGCGUUAAUCGGAUUUACUGGGCGUAAAGCGUGCGUAGGCGGCUUCUUAAGUCGGAUGUGAAAUCCCUGAGCUUAACUUAGGAAUUGCAUUCGAUACUGGGAAGCUAGAGUAUGGGAGAGGAUGGUAGAAUUCCAGGUGUAGCGGUGAAAUGCGUAGAGAUCUGGAGGAAUACCGAUGGCGAAGGCAGCCAUCUGGCCUAAUACUGACGCUGAGGUACGAAAGCAUGGGGAGCAAACAGGAUUAGAUACCCCAGUAGUCCCUGUCUCUUAUAC